GAGUGAAGCGGCAACAGCUCAAAUUUGAAAUCUGGCCCUUUCAGGGUCCGAGUUGUAAUUUGCAGAGGGUGCUUUGGUGUUGGCGGCGGUCUAAGUUCCUUGGAACAGGACAUCGCAGAGGGUGAGAAUCCCGUAUGUGGUCGCCCGCCUUCGCCGUGUAAAGCCCCUUCGACGAGUCGAGUUGUUUGGGAAUGCAGCUCUAAAUGGGAGGUAAAUUUCUUCUAAAGCUAAAUACCGGCCAGAGACCGAUAGCGCACAAGUAGAGUGAUCGAAAGAUGAAAAGCACUUUGGAAAGAGAGUCAAACAGCACGUGAAAUUGUUAAAAGGGAAGCGCUUGCAGCCAGACUUGCCUGUAGUUGCUCACCCGGGCUCCUGCCCGGGGCACUCUUCUGCAGGCAGGCCAGCAUCAGUUUGGGCGGUAGGACAAAGGCCUCUGACACGUAUCUCCCUUCGGGGUUAACAUAUAGGGGGGGCGCAAUGCUACCAGCCCGGACUGAGGUCCGCGCAUCUGCUAGGAUGCUGGCGUAAUGGCUGUAAGCGGCCCGUCUUGAAACACGGACCAAGGAGUCUAACAUCUAUGCGAGUGUUUGGGUGUCAAGCCCGAGCGCGUAAUGAAAGUGAACGGAGGUGGGAACCCCUCGGGGCGCACCAUCGACCGAUCCUGAUGUCUUCGGAUGGAUUUGAGUAAGAGCAUAGCUGUUGGGACCCGAAAGAUGGUGAACUAUGCUUGAAUAGGGUGAAGCCAGAGGAAACUCUGGUGGAGGCUCGCAGCGGUUCUGACGUGCAAAUCGA
rnacentral:rRNA from 1 species